rnacentral:rRNA from 1 species
CACGUAGGGCGCGAGCGUUGUCCGGAAUUAUUGGGCGUAAAGAGCUCGUAGGCGGCCUGUUGCGUCCGCUGUGAAAGCCCGGGGCUUAACCCCGGGUCGGCAGUGGAUACGGGCAGGCUAGAGGUAGGUAGGGGAGACUGGAAUUCCUGGUGUAGCGGUGAAAUGCGCAGAUAUCAGGAGGAACACCGAUGGCGAAGGCAGGUCUCUGGGCAACUACUGACGCUGAGAAGCGAAAGCGUGGGGAGCGAACAGG